rnacentral:rRNA from 1 species
GAUGAACGCUGGCGGCGUGCUUAACACAUGCAAGUCGAACGGAAGGGCUCCUGCUUGCAGGGGUACUCGAGUGGCGAACGGGUGAGUAAAACGUGGGUGAUCUGCCCUGCACUUCGGGAUAAGCCUGGGAAACUGGGUCUAAUACCGGGUAGGACCACAUUAUGGAUGGGGUGGUGGAAAGUUUUUCGGUGUGGGAUGAGCUCGCGGACUAUCAGCUUGUUGGUGGGGUAAUGGCCUACCAAGGCGUCGACGGGUAGCCGGCCUGAGAGGGGGUACGGCCACAGUGGGACUGAGGGACGGCGCAGACUCCUACGGGAGGCAGCAGUGGGGAAUCUUGCACAAUGGGCGCACGCCUGAUGCAGCGACGCCGCGUGCGUGAUGACGGCCUUCGGGUUGUAAACUCCUUUCGCUAGGGACGAAGCGCAAGUGACGGUACCUGGAGAAGAAGCACCGGCUAACUACGUG